CAAAGCCUGGAUCAGCUAAUCCACGGGGGAGACUGUUAUUAAUACAGAUGCAAAGAAUCUUCCCACAGUGGGUGGACACCUCCUCCAGCUCCUGUUCUGUUGCAUAUCCUGGUUUCUUGCUCCACGAGUGAGGAGAGUUUUCAUCUUUUCUGAAGGCACGAGGACCUGCUGUCUUCCUUACCACAGCGCCCCCUCAGCUUUGUGAGAUACUGUUCCCCAAGGUGUCUUGUGCCUUUGACGAAGCAGUCACCUCCUCUUCCAGACAUUAUGGAUUGAUUUUGGUUUGAUGUUCAACUGCAUCGCUGAAGUUUAAGCAGACUCCAGAGCUGUUUAAGUUCAUGGAUAGAUGUCUACAUGUUGAUUUCUGUGGAACAAUGGCGGUUAGGGAUCCUGCACUGCAUUUUGGUGGCAUCUCCUCCAGUCCUGCAACUCAGGAACAGUCAGAGAGAAGAGAUACAUAGAGCAAGAUGCUGAAAGUUCUCACAAUGCAGACAAUGUACUGCUUUCCUGACAAAGAUAAAGCCUGUAAAACAAAGAAUGUUGCCUGCCUUCCAGUUCUACAAGUAUCAAGUCAUAAGCCAAUGCAGUCACUGAAAGGAAUGAAAGAAAUCAGCAGUUGCAGAAACCAUGAAUGGACCCAGUGCAGACUUUUCUCCUUCAUCUGAACUCUCCAAGGCACUAGCAAGGGCCCUUGUGUCUGUCCACCUUCCUGAAUUUCUUGGAUAAAAGUGAAGACACCAUAUGAGAGCCUUCAGCUCCAAACGUAAGGGACACAGCUCUUCCUGGCCAGUUACAACUUUCUCAGGCAACUGAGGAACUUGAGUUGUGGCAGAG